UUAAGCAUAUUAAUUAGGGGAGGAAAAGAAACUACAAGGAUUUUCUUAGUAGCGGCGAGCGAAAAGAAAACAGUUCAGCACUAAGUCACUUUGUCUAUAUGGCAAAUGUGAGAUGCAGUGUAUGGAGCGUCAAUAUUCUAGUAUGAGAAAUUAACGAUUUAAGUCCUUCUUAAAUGAGGCCAUUUACCCAUAGAGGGUGCCAGGCCCUUAUAACGUUAAUGAUUACUAGAUGAUGUUUCCAAAGAGUCGUGUUGCUUGAUAGUGCAGCACUAAGUGGGUGGUAAACUCCAUCUAAAACUAAAUAUAACCAUGAGACCGAUAGUAAACAAGUACCGUGGGAAAGUUGAAAAGAACUCUGAAUAGAGAGUUAAACAGUACGUGAAACUGCUUAGAGGUUAAGCCCGAUGAACCUGAAUAUCCGUUAUGGAAAAUUCAUCAUUAAAAUUGUAAUAUUUAAAUAAUAUUAUGAGAAUAGUGUGCAUUUUUUCCAUAUAAGGACAUUGUAAUCUAUUAGCAUAUACCAAAUUUAUCAUAAAAUAUAACUUAUAGUUUAUUCCAAUAAAUUGCUUGCAUUUUAACACAGAAUAAAUGUUAUUAAUUUGAUAAAGUGCUGAUAGAUUUAUAUGAUUACAGUGCGUUAAUUUUUCGGAAUUAUAUAAUGGCAUAAUUAUCAUUGAUUUUUGUGUUUAUUAUAUGCACUUGUAUGAUUAACAAUGCGAAAGAUUCAGGAUACCUUCGGACCCGUCUUGAAACACGGACCAAGGAGUCUAACAUAUGUGCAAGUUAUUGGAUAUAAACCUAAUAGCGUAAUUAACUUGACUAAUAAUGGAUUAGUUUUUUAGCUAUUUAUAGCUAAUUAACACAAUCCCGGGGCGUUCUAUAUAGUUAUGUAUAAUGUAUAUUUAUAUUAUUUAUGCCUCUAACUGGAACGUACCUUGGCAUAUAUGCUGUGACCCGAAAGAUGGUGAACUAUACUUGAUCAGGUUGAAGUCAGGGGAAACCCUGAUGGAAGACCGAAACAGUUCUGACGUGCAAAUCGAUUGUCAGAAUUGAGUAUAGGGCGAAAGACCAAUCGAACCAUCUAGUAGCUGGUUCCUUCCGAAGUUUCCCUCAGGAUAGCUGGUGCAUUUUAAUAUUAUAUAAAAUAAUCUUAUCUGGUAAAGCGAAUGAUUAGAGGCCUUAGGGUCGAAACGAUCUUAACCUAUUCUCAAACUUUAAAUGGGUAAGAACCUUAACUUUCUUGAUAUGAAGUUCAAGGUUAUGAUAUAAUGUGCCCAGUGGGCCACUUUUGGUAAGCAGAACUGGCGCUGUGGAUGAACCAAACGUAAUGUUACGGUGCCCAAAUUAACAACUCAUGCAGAUACCAUGAAAGGCGUUGGUUGCUUAAAACAGCAGGACGGUGAUCAUGGAAGUCGAAAUCCGCUAAGGAGUGUGUAACAACUCACCUGCCGAAGCAACUAGCCCUUAAAAUGGAUGGCGCUUAAGUUGUAUACCUAUACAUUACCGCUAAAGUAGAUGAUUUAUAUUACUUGUGAUAUAAAUUUUGAAACUUUAGUGAGUAGGAAGGUACAAUGGUAUGCGUAGAAGUGUUUGGCGUAAGCCUGCAUGGAGCUGCCAUUGGUACAGAUCUUGGUGGUAGUAGCAAAUAAUCGAAUGAGACCUUGGAGGACUGAAGUGGAGAAGGGUUUCGUGUGAACAGUGGUUGAUCACGAGUUAGUCGUCCUAAGUUCAAGGCGAAACUUGAAUCGGGAUAUAAGUUUUGCGAUUUAUAAGGAAAGCGCUUACAUACACUUCGUUCAAUGCGAAAGGUGGAGUAGCCGUUUGGAUUAACUGCUUGCCUCAUGCUCAGAUCCAUAUGAGGAACGGAUCAGAUCUUGUCGAGAGAUAUCUAAUGUUUUAUUGCGUACCUAGAUGGACUUGGAGUGCAGGUCCUUGGCAGAAAACUAUGGUUUCGGGAAUAUGGAUGUCAAGAUAAGACUCCUCGGCUGGCAAUGUUUGGGAAGGGUGUUCCUGGGGAGGGCAAACUUCUCAGCAUCCUGGCUGUCCGCAGCGGGCGAGAAUCUACCGAGUCCGCUGUUGCUUAAGUAAGAGACGAAAAUACGCGUAGGAUUCCGUAACCUUGGCUCGGAGAAAAGGAAGGCCCACCGAUUCUUUGAUUAAAACGGGUUGUGCUCUAUCCAAGACUGCUGGUUGAGGAGGGGCCCCCUGUGGGAGUUCUGGUGGCUUAGUUGGUACCCAUAUCCGGAAGGCCUUCUUGCGACGUUUUGAUUACGGUGCUUUUGCCAAAACUCGGGUUCUUGACCCAGAGAUCAUAUCAAUUUUCAAUCAUUCGCUCUCAGACGGGGGGGUGCUCCCCUGUCUAAAGUAAACAAUUGCUGGCGGGGUGGUCGGGUGUAAUAGAUUGCUUCUAGUCCGUGACGCUUGUCUCAAAGUCCAGAACAUGCAAUAUCUCAACGUGGUAACUAUGACUCUCUUAAGGUAGCCAAAUGCCUCGUCAUCUAAUUAGUGACGCGCAUGAAUGGAUUAACGAGAUUCCUACUGUCCCUAUCUACUAUCUAGCGAAACCACAGCCAAGGGAACGGGCUUGGAAUAAUUAGCGGGGAAAGAAGACCCUUUUGAGCUUGACUCUAAUCUGGCAGUGUAAGGAGACAUAAGAGGUGUAGAAUAAGUGGGAGAUAUUAGACCUCGUUUGGUAUCGUCAAUGAAAUACCACUACUCUUAUUGUUUCCUUACUUACUUGAUUAAAUGGAACGUGUAUCAUUUCCUAGCCAUUAUACGGAUAUAUUUAUUAUAUCUUAUGGUAUUGGGUUUUGAUGCAAGCUUCUUGAUCAAAGUAUCACGAGUUUGUUAUAUAAUCGCAAACAAAUUCUUUAAUAAAACGAUGCAUUUAUGUAUUUUUGAUUUGAAAAUUUGGUAUAUACUCCAAUUACUCAGGUAUGAUCCAAUUCAAGGACAUUGCCAGGUAGGGAGUUUGACUGGGGCGGUACAUCUCUCAAAUAAUAACGGAGGUGUCCCAAGGCCAGCUCAGUGCGGACAGAAACCACACAUAGAGCAAAAGGGCAAAUGCUGACUUGAUCUCGGUGUUCAGUACACACAGGGACAGCAAAAGCUCGGCCUAUCGAUCCUUUUGGUUUAAAGAGUUUUUAACAAGAGGUGUCAGAAAAGUUACCAUAGGGAUAACUGGCUUGUGGCGGCCAAGCGUUCAUAGCGACGUCGCUUUUUGAUCCUUCGAUGUCGGCUCUUCCUAUCAUUGUGAAGCAAAAUUCACCAAGCGUUGGAUUGUUCACCCAUGCAAGGGAACGUGAGCUGGGUUUAGACCGUCGUGAGACAGGUUAGUUUUACCCUACUAAUGACAAAACGUUGUUGCGACAGCAUUCCUGCGUAGUACGAGAGGAACCGCAGGUACGGACCAAUGGCACAAUACUUGUUCGAGCGAACAGUGGUAUGACGCUACGUCCGUUGGAUUAUGCCUGAACGCCUCUAAGGUCGUAUCCGUGCUGGACUGCAAUGAUAAAUAAGGGGCAAUUUGCAUUGUAUGGCUUCUAAACCAUUUAAAGUUUAUAAUUUACUUUAUAAACGACAAUGGAUGUGAUGCCAAUGUAAUUUGUAACAUAGUAAAUUGGGAGGAUCUUCGAUCACCUGAUGCCGCGCUAGUUACAUAUAAAAGCAUUAUUU
rnacentral:rRNA from 1 species